rnacentral:rRNA from 1 species
UACGUAGGGGGCAAGCGUUGUCCGGAUUUAUUGGGCGUAAAGAGCGUGUAGGCGGUCAGGUAGGUCCGUUGUGAAAACUCGAGGCUCAACCUCGAGACGCCGAUGGAAACCAUCUGACUAGAGUCCGGAAGAGGAGAGUGGAAUCCAGGUGUAGCGGUGAAAUGCGUAGAUAUCUGGAGGAACACCGGUGGCGAAGGCGGCAUCCUGGACAAUUCUGACACUGAGGAGCGAAGCCAGGGA